AUGCCUGCUGAGUCUAAUUGUGGCUGUGCCUAUGGAGCAUCAGCGCUUUGCCCGUUCUGACUCUGAUGAGACAAGCUCAACUUCUCUCUCGCUGACCGACCUCAUCACUCUUCUACAAGCAAUUAUAGCUGCAACUGCAGCAUAAAGCCUGGAAUGUUAACAAUGACCAGUCAGUUCCAAACCAGCAUUUCUGACUAGAAAGGUUUUUCACUCAACAUUCAGGAAAACAUUUUUUUCCUCUGCUUGUUUGCAUGACAAAUAAACCUUAAGAAUGAAAA